CAGUCUGGCCCCAUCUCCAGACCCCAGGGAGCCACACCUGGACCAGACUCCAAGAAAGGCAAGGGCACUGGCCGGUAGAAGCCAUCCCUACACCCCGAUGUCAGAGAAGCAAGAACCGCAGAGAGGGAGCUCCUUGGGCACCAGAGGAGAACUGCUCCCUUCACCCACGCCUGCCCCGGAGCUUCCCGACAGAAGACAGGUUUCCCCAGACCAGCAACAUUUCCUGAAGACAUGGGAAGCAGAAAGGAGAAACAGUCCAUCUGCCUGGGAGCAGUCCCCCAAGCUGCCAACAACUAGCUCCGAGAGCUGAGCCCCAGGUAGGAUUCUGGGGCCACCCGGUUCAACUGCCUCCUUCACAGAAGAGGAAACAGAGCCACAGAGAGAAGGGCCUGGUGAGAAGUAACCAGGCCAAUUGGCGAUAGAAAAUGGGACUCCCGAGUGGCCUCUCUCAUCUCCUGACUAGAGAUCCAGAGUGUUAAGAAGCCUUUCAUGGGGUAAGUGGAACAGGGGGGGCCAUAGACCCCUCCCUUCUCAGUGAGACCCUCAUUUGAAGGAGACAAGGGACAAGCACUGUCUGCCAGCCCAGCAAGUGUGCAAGACUCAAAGGAAGAGUUCCUGGGCAGAGAGCCAGGGAAGGCACCUCCCCCGUGCAGCUCUGCCCCUGCUCCAGCCCAGCCGCACCACCUCCUCCUCCAGGAAGCCUUCCCAGCUCCCCCCAGGGCCAGGAACCUCUUUGUCCUCUAAGCCCUUGGCAGAACUCUCUUGGGCUCUCUCUUGUCCCACUUGGUCCGCCCCUAUUCACUUUGCAGGGGCAUUUUCCUUCUACCUCAGCCUGACUGUGCUCCUCUAGAACAAGGUCUCCAUCAGGUUCAGCCCCAACUCCCUUUGGCCCAUGGAAGAGUCACUCGGUUUGCUGAAUGAACAGGUGAAAUGAUUAGACUCAGGCCCAGAACCAGAGGACUGGUUAAUUGGUCAGGUGUUGAGACAUCCAGCAUAGAGAUUAUAAAUGAGGGUUCUGGAGUUGGCUGUACUGAAGAAGGAACCCCAGGCUCAGUUCCUAGCUCUGUCCCCUUGGAAAAUUCCCUUCCCAUGGAGCCUUGGGGAUGAACAUUCAAUAAAUGACCGUUCUUAUCGCA